rnacentral:rRNA from 1 species
GACGAACGCUGGCGGCGUGCCUAAUACAUGCAAGUAGGACGCAGUUGCGAACGGGUGAGUAACGCGUAGGUAACUGCCUAUUAGAGGGGGAUAACUAUUGGAAACGAUAGCUAAUACCGCAUACUAGUAGAAGGACCUGCGUUGUAUUAGCUAGUAGGUAGGGUAAUGGCCUACCUAGGCGACGAUACAUAGCCGACCUGGGAGGGUGAUCGGCCAAACUGGGAAUGAGGCAAGGCCCAGAAUCCUACGGGAGGCAGCAGUAGGGAAUUGUCGGCAAUGGGGGGAAACCCUACCGAGCAACGCCGCGUGAGUGAAGAAGGGUGUCGGAUCGUAAAGCGCUGUUGUUAAGGAAGCGGUACUUAACCAGAAAGGGACGGCUAACUACGUGCCAGCAGCCGCGGUAAUUC